rnacentral:rRNA from 1 species
GAGUUUGAUCCUGGCUCAGAACGAACGCUGGCGGCGUGCUUAACACAUGCAAGUCAGGGAGAAAGUCUCUUCGGGGAUGAUUAAACCGGCGCACGGGUGAGUAACACGUGAGUGACCUGCCUUUUAGACUGGAACAACUUACCGAAAGGUGAGCUAAUGCCGGAUGAGUUAUAUAAGUGCAUGUUUAUAUAGGAAAAGUUGGGGAGACCUGACGCUGAAAGAUGGACUCGCGUCCCAUUAGCUAGUUGGUAGGGUAAUGGCCUACCAAGGCGACGAUGGGUAGCCGGCCUGAGAGGGUGGCCGGCCACACUGGGACUGAGACACGGCCCAGACUCCUACGGGAGGCAGCAGUGGGGAAUUUUGCGCAAUGCUCGUAAGAGUGACGCAGCGACGCCGCGUGAAUGACGAAGGCCUUCGGGUCGUAAAGUUCUUUCGACAGGGAAGAAAAUGCCUAUAAGUAACUGUGUAUGUAUUGACGGUACCUGUAUAAGCAGCCCCGGCUAACUCCGUGCCAGCAGCCGCGGUAAUACGGAGGGGGCGAGCGUUGUUCGGAGUGACUGGGCGUAAAGAGCACGUAGGCGGUGUUGUAAGUCAUUAGUCAAAGACUAGAGCUCAACUUUAGUAAGGCUAGUGAUACUAUAAUACUAGAGUAUCAGAGAGGAUUGCAGAAUUCCUGGUGUAGCGGUGAAAUGCGUAGAUAUCAGGAGGAAUACCGUUAGCGAAGGCGGCAAUCUGGCUGGAAACUGACGCUGAGGUGCGAAAGCGUGGGUAG